rnacentral:rRNA from 1 species
GAUGAACGCUGGCGGCGUGCCUAAUACAUGCAAGUCGAGCGAACGGACGAGAAGCUUGCUUCUCUAAUGUUAGCGGCGGACGGGUGAGUAACACGUGGAUAACCUACCUAUAAGACUGGGAUAACUUCGGGAAACCGUGGCUAAUACCGGAUAAUAUUUUGAACCGCAUGGUUCAAAAGUGAAAGACGGUCUUGCUGUCACUUAUAGAUGGAUCCGCGCUGCAUUAGCUAGUUGGUAAGGUAACGGCUUACCAAGGCAACGAUGCAUAGCCGACCUGAGAGGGUGAUCGGCCACACUGGAACUGAGACACGGUCCAGACUCCUACGGGAGGCAGCAGUAGGGAAUCUUCCGCAAUGGGCGAAAGCCUGACGGAGCAACGCCGCGUGAGUGAUGAAGGUCUUCGGAUCGUAAAACUCUGUUAUUAGGGAAGAACAUAUGUGUAAGUAACUGUGCACAUCUUGACGGUACCUAAUCAGAAAGCCACGGCUAACUACGUG